rnacentral:rRNA from 1 species
GACGAACGCUGGCGGCGUGCCUAAUACAUGCAAGUUGAGCGCUGAAGGUUGGUACUUGUACCAACUGGAUGAGCAGCGAACGGGUGAGUAACGCGUGGGGAAUCUGCCUUUGAGCGGGGGACAACAUUUGGAAACGAAUGCUAAUACCGCAUAAAAACUUUAAACACAAGUUUUAAGUUUGAAAGAUGCAAUUGCAUCACUCAAAGAUGAUCCCGCGUUGUAUUAGCUAGUUGGUGAGGUAAAGGCUCACCAAGGCGAUGAUACAUAGCCGACCUGAGAGGGUGAUCGGCCACAUUGGGGCUGAGACACGGCCCAAACUCCUACGGGAGGCAGCAGUAGGGAAUCUUCGGCAAUGGACGAAAGUCUGACCGAGCAACGCCGCGUGAGUGAAGAAGGUUUUCGGAUCGUAAAACUCUGUUGGUAGAGAAGAACGUUGGUGAGAGUGGAAAGCUCAUCAAGUGACGGUAACUACCCAGAAAGGGACGGCUAACUACGUG